GAUGAAGAACGUAGCGAAAUGCGAUAAGUAAUGUGAAUUGCAGAAUUCCGUGAAUCAUCGAAUCUUUGAACGCACAUUGCGCCCCCUGGCAUUCCGGGGGGCAUGACUGUCCGAGCGUCAUUUCUGCCCUCCAGCCCGGCUGGGUGUUGGGCGCUGUCCCCCCGGGGACACGCCCCAAAGGCAGUGGCGGCGCCGCGUCGGGUCCUCGAGCGUAUGGGGCUUUGUCACCCGCUCGGGACGGACUCGUCGGCGCUGGUCUUCCUCCAGGCGACCCUUCGGGGCUCGUCUUCCUUCGGUUGACCUCGGAUCAGGUAGGGUUACCCGCUGAACUUAAGCAUAUCAAUAAGCGGAGGA
rnacentral:misc_RNA from 1 species